GCUGUUUCUUUUCUCCACAGCCACCAGACAUCACUCCAGCGACGUUCGAGAGCGAGUUCUCCACAGCGAGCUUUCCAGUUCCGGCGACUGGUUUCGGCCUGUUGUUUCUUUUCUCCACAGCCACCAGAAACCCCUCAAAGAUGUAUCACUAGCAACAGGUGUUGCAGAAGGGAUAAUAAGGAACUCAUACAAAGAUCUGUA